rnacentral:tRNA from 1 species
AGCGUUAUAGGAUAAAAAAAAUCCGACGUCUUUAGGAGGCGGAGAUGUGUGAACUAAGGCUA